ensembl:lincRNA
CGGAGCCCAGCUUCCGGCCGCGCCCCCGAGGGUCGCCUUCGCCUCCUGGUCGUGGAAGGCGUUGCCUGGCCCCGCGGCUCCGGGUUUGGCACCAAGGUGCAAUGCACAGAUGCUGCCGCGGCAGAGAAGGUGCCCGGCACGGUACCUGGUCAGCAGAGGAAACCUCGAACCAGCGAGUGAGCUCGCUGCUCUCUUUGGGCACCUUAAAGUGAGCUCUCGCAGAGGCCACGUCCACGUGGGUCCUCGGAUGUCAUCCCUGAGCACCUACCGUUCUCCUCAGCGUCGCUCCAAGAGUCACCAGCAGAAUGCUCAGCCCCGUCCUCAAAGAAACACAAGUGGAAACGUACAAGAAGCACAGCGCCCAGCUCUCCGAGAAGUGACCACACCAAGUGACAGGUAAGAGGCUCGGGGCGAAGGGCCCAGCCUGCAGGCAGAGGGGAAAGGCUCCGGUCAGGUCGG